rnacentral:rRNA from 1 species
CCGCGAAACUGCGAAUGGCUCAUUAUAUAAGUUAUCGUUUAUUUGAUAAUACUUUACUACUUGGAUAACCGUGGUAAUUCUAGAGCUAAUACAUGCUGAAAAUCCCGACUUCGGAAGGGAUGUAUUUAUUAGAUUAAAAACCAAUGCCCCUCGGGGCUCUCUGGUGAAUCAUGAUAACUAGUCGAAUCGACAGGCCUUGUGCCGGCGAUGGCUCAUUCAAAUUUCUUCCCUAUCAACUUUCGAUGUUUGGGUAUUGGCCAAACAUGGUGGCAACGGGUAACGGAGGGUUAGGGCUCGACCCCGGAGAAGGAGCCUGAGAAACGGCUACUACAUCCAAGGAAGGCAGCAGGCGCGCAAAUUACCCAAUCCCGACACGGGGAGGUAGUGACAAUAAAUACUGAUACAGGGCUCUUUUGGGUCUUGUAAUCGGAAUGAGUACAAUUUAAAUCCCUUAACGAGGAACAAUUGGAGGGCAAGUCUGGUGCCAGCAGCCGCGGUAAUUCCAGCUCCAAUAGCGUAUAUUAAAGUUGUUGUGGUUAAAAAGCUCGUAGUUGAACCUUGGGCCUGGCUGGCCGGUCCGCCUCACCGCGUGCACUGGUCCGGCCGGGCCUUUCCCUCUGCGGAACCCCAUGCCCUUCACUGGGUGUGGCGGGGAAACAGGACUUUUACUUUGAAAAAAUUAGAGUGCUCAAGGCAGGCCUAUGCUCGAAUACAUUAGCAUGGAAUAAUAGAAUAGGACGUGUGGUUCUAUUUUGUUGGUUUCUAGGACCGCCGUAAUGAUUAAUAGGGACAGUCGGGGGCAUCAGUAUUCAAUUGUCAGAGGUGAAAUUCUUGGAUUUAUUGAAGACUAACUACUGCGAAAGCAUUUGCCAAGGAUGUUUUCAUUAAUCAGGAACGAAAGUUAGGGGAUCGAAGACGAUCAGAUACCGUCGUAGUCUUAACCAUAAACUAUGCCGACUAGGGAUCGGACGAUGUUACAUUUUUGACGCGUUCGGCACCUUACGAGAAAUCAAAGUGCU